UGGGAAUGAACUGAACAACACAUUAUAUCAAUUGCAGAUCCCCCCCCCGGGUUACAAAGCAUCAGAGCAUUCAAACAUGUCAAGUGAGAUCUAUAGCAGGAAAGACAGUACUGUGGGGAUCAGGUAGGGUGUUCAGCAUUUGUUCUGUUCCUGUGCCGCUUGUGCAUGCUUGUUUUGCCUUUCAGAAAGAUGGACCUCAGCACAGCUUUGUUUAAGCCAGACUCCAACAUUUAUAUUCUCCAGUAUUUUUGCCUUGAUUGAAUCUAGUCAGUGAGCAAGCCACAGGUGACUCAGAGGAUGACUGUAUGGAAAUGGAUGCUGUUGCUGGGAGGAAGUUUUUCUGAAGCAGGGGAAUGGGAGCCUCAGGUGUCUCAGACCAGAACAUGAGCUUACCAGAUCAGUCAUAGAUGCUGCAAUAUAACUGCCAUAAAUGCAUAGAAGGGGAGAAAGAAGAAGGUUUAUAGUGCUCCACUGGGGAAAAGGGCUUUUGUCUUUGUUGAUGACCUAAACAUGCCUGCCAAGGAGAAAUAUGGUGCCCAGCCUCCCAUUGAACUGCUGCAGCAAUGGAUUGACCACGGCUACUGGUUUGACAGCUUUACACGGCAAUCUCAGCCUGUGAUCCCUCAGUGCUUUUCAGAGAGCGGUAUGAAAGUUGGAAGGUAAGAAGUCCCAAGAAAAUCAUGCCCUUGUGUUUGGAUUAUCUGUCAGCCCCUGCUCCCUAAGAACUUGUGAACCAGUUUUGACACAGCAAUUGCAGUCUCAGAGAUGUCAAAGCAUCUUAAACACACAAGGUUUAUUUAACAGCCCAAGAAGAAAAG